CCUAACCCUACCUCAUUCUCUCCGUCGCCGCCUCCUUUCUCUACCUCAUCUCCAUUUUCUCUUCUCCUUCUCAACUAGUUCUCACAGUAAAAAAUCCAUAGUCUUCACAUCUAUCUCUAUGAAGUUUGAACAAACACCAGUAUCACCUGAUUAAUUUUUUGAAUCGCUCUUUAAAAUUCUUUUCCCGUCAAGUUUUCUCAAUUUUUGGUAGACAUUUUUACUUUGAUUUAGAUGGUUUAAGGUGAUCUAUCUUUAUUUCCUGCUAAAUAGUUAAACUUGUAACCGAUUCCGACUCCAAUGAUGAUUUGAGGAGUUUGGAAUAUUACUUAAUUGAAGCUGAUUUUUUCCUCCUUGUUCAGUUAGGGAUUUGUUUAAAAUGUUCAACCUUUACUGAUUUCAACUCUAAUGAUUGUUGAAGAGUUGAGAUUUGUGGUUAUUCGACUUAGUUUAUGUUUUUAUUUCAUUUUUUUCAUGUUCAAUUUUUGUUGUAUGUUGAAUUAAUAGGUUAUCGAUUAAGAAUUGAAAUCUGGGUUUUAUUUUGCAUGUGAGUUCCUUUUGGGUUUGAUUCAUAUUGUUCUUCAUUUUUCUUUCAUUUUGGGGGUUUUAUUUAUUUACAUCCAAGUGAUUUUAUUUGUUGUUUGAUGAUUUUCAGAAAUUAGUUUUGUUUGUUCAUCAGAAAUUGGCAAAGAGCCUUAAUCAAUUUUUCAGAAAUUAGUAGUCUGUAAUGAUCGUAGUAAUAGUGGUGUUUAGCGAUUUGUUGUAAUUAACAUAUCAAAUUUACGUCUUAGACAAGAGUGUUUGAGGGUACCCUUAAAUUAGGUACCAAAGGUAUGGGUUUCAUUGAUUGGUUCUUUAUGUUGCUAUGGUUGUCAUAGUUUUUCAUUUUUCCAAUGGGUCUGGACUUUUGUUUGUUUGGAAUGAAAAAAAGUUUGCUCCACUAAUCUAAGCUUUGAAAAAGGAACAGAAGUAUCAGGACCAAUUUUUGGAGGAAGGAAUUAGAUCCGGAACGAGAACUCUAUUGACCUCAAAAUCAGAGCUAAAAUCUAAAAGAACAGAUUGAAUGAUAUUAAGUUGCAGAAUCGAUCCUUGUUUUUAAGCUUGUCCAGUGAUAUUUCAAAGAACUCUAAUCUUCUCAAAGUUGAAGUUGAAAUGGAUGUAUCAAUCUUGUUCCUCUUCUAAUUUCUUUUACCAAAUAAACGGGAUUUUAUUUUUUCUAUCUUUGUCAAGCUGAUUGUAAAUUUGUUGAUUAAUAAAUGAUAUUGUAAUUGAUUAAUAAAAUAAAUUAAUUUGCAUUUAAUUUGGUUAUCAUA